GGGUUUGAGGAUGAUCCUGCUGGGAGUCCAGGCACUCCAUUGAUUGCCUGGGUUGAUUUUGCUGAUGUAAACAGCUCAGGAGGCGACUGGCGGCCCUCCCUCUUGGUCUGCUUGUGGCUUUCCCGUGCUUCCCACUGAGUCAGAGAGAAGGCGGUCCUUCCUGGGUAGAGCAUCAUUCUUUGGCCAAGGGCGUGUGAUGACUCUGCUCUCGGGCAUUGGAAGGGAUGUGGUACUCUGGUUGAUCUUACUGGAGUAACAGUAAUUAUUAACAUUCAGCUGAAAUGAGUACUAUAUAAUCUUUGUU
rnacentral:snRNA from 1 species